CUUCUUUUUCCACCGGAGCUUGCUCCACCGGAAAAAGAGGAGUGGCGAACGGGUGAGUAACACGUGGGUAACCUGCCCAUCAGAAGGGGAUAACAUUUGGAAACAGGUGCUAAUACCGUAUAACAAUCGAAACCGCAUGGUUUUGAUUUGAAAGGCGCUUUCGGGUGUCGCUGAUGGAUGGACCCGCGGUGCAUUAGCUAGUUGGUGAGGUAACGGCUCACCAAGGCCACGAUGCAUAGCCGACCUGAGAGGGUGAUCGGCCACAUUGGGACUGAGACACGGCCCAAACUCCUACGGGAGGCAGCAGUAGGGAAUCUUCGGCAAUGGACGAAAGUCUGACCGAGCAACGCCGCGUGAGUGAAGAAGGUUUUCGGAUCGUAAAACUCUGUUGUUAGAGAAGAACAAGGAUGAGAGUAACUGUUCAUCCCUUGACGGUAUCUAACCAGAAAGCCACGGCUAACUACGUGCCAGCAGCCGCGGUAAUACGUAGGUGGCAAGCGUUGUCCGGAUUUAUUGGGCGUAAAGCGAGCGCAGGCGGUUUCUUAAGUCUGAUGUGAAAGCCCCCGGCUCAACCGGGGAGGGUCAUUGGAAACUGGGAGACUUGAGUGCAGAAGAGGAGAGUGGAAUUCCAUGUGUAGCGGUGAAAUGCGUAGAUAUAUGGAGGAACACCAGUGGCGAAGGCGGCUCUCUGGUCUGUAACUGACGCUGAGGCUCGAAAGCGUGGGGAGCAAACAGGAUUAGAUACCCUGGUAGUCCACGCCGUANACGAUGAGUGCUAAGUGUUGGAGGGNUUCCGCCCUUCAGUGCUGCAGCUAACGCAUUAAGCACUCCGCC
rnacentral:rRNA from 1 species